ACCAGGCGAUCAGGUGGUCUCCGUCCGGCAACCACAGCAGCACAGAGAUAGAGCCACCAGGCGAUCAGGUGGUCUCCGUCCGGCAACCACAGCAGCACAGAGAUAGAGCCACCAGUUGCCUCCCUCUCCGGCAAAAAACAGCAACAUUAGCUACACGCAGCGAGCAGCGAUGGCAAUCACCGGCAGCAGCCUGCUCCAGCGAGCAACAUCAGCAAACGCCGGAGAGCAAGGCGAAGAUAACGACACAAUUCAUGGACAGUCGCCUCCAGAUUAUAAAUCAUCAUUUUUUAUAAAUUAAUCUUCUUUUUUAGGUAUGAAUUUCUUUUUUUCUCUUGUUGUAAUUUACUUUUAAGUGUCU
rnacentral:misc_RNA from 1 species